rnacentral:rRNA from 1 species
UACGGAAGGCAGCAGUGGGGAAUAUUGGACAAUGGGCGAAAGCCUGAUCCAGCCAUGCCGCAUGAGUGAAGAAGGCCUUCGGGUUGUAAAGCUCUUUUAGUGAGAAAGAUAAUGACGGUACUCACAGAAGAAGUCCUGGCUAACUCCGUGCCAGCAGCCGCGGUAAUACGGAGAGGGCUAGCGUUAUUCGGAAUUAUUGGGCGUAAAGAGCGCGUAGGCUGAUUUAGUAAGUUAAAAGUGAAAUCCCAAAGCUUAACUUUGGAAUUGCUUUUUAAAACUGCUAGUCUAGAGAUUGAAAGAGGAUAGAGGAAUUCCUAGUGUAGAGGUGAAAUUCGUAAAUAUUAGGAGGAACACCAGUGGCGAAGGCGUCUAUCUGGUUCAAAUCUGACGCUGAGGCGCGAAGGGCGUGGGGAGCAAACAGGGAUUAGAUACC